rnacentral:rRNA from 1 species
AUGGUCGGUGACGCCCUCCCUUCCCUCCUGACCGGCCGGUGCUGCGCUGGAUUGACGGACCCCUCGCUGCUAUGGCCAGCAAUGCCCUCCCUUCCCUCCCUCCCCUCGUCUCCCUUACCCAGCGACGAUCUUGACGGCGGCCUCCCCAACUACAUCGUCACCGGCCAAGGCUCACCGCAGUGCAUGACCGACAGAUCUGGGGGAUUAGUCGCUCCCUCACGCUCAUCCCAUCCUCACCCGGCGACGAGGAGUCUUCUCCGACCUCCGCCAACAUCCACGGCCACCACACCACCCCUCCCUUCUAAUCCCUCCCUCCUAGACCGUGUGUGUAGUACGACACCCCCGUGUGUACAGUACGACACCCAUGUGCGUGCAGUUUGA